CGGAAGAUCCGAGCGUCAUCCGGAAUUACUGGGCGUAAAGAGUUGCGUAGGUGGCAAGUAAAGCGAGCAGUGAAAGACUCCGGCUCAACUGGAGGCACAUUGUUCGAACUCACUAGCUAGAGCACAGCAGAGGUACCUGGAAUUCCCAGUGUAGGAGUGAAAUCCGUAGAUAUUGGGAGGAACACCGAUGGCGUAGGCAGGGUACUGGGCUGUUGCUGACACUAAGGCACGAAAGCGUGGGGAGCGAACGGGAUUAGAUACCCCGGUAGUCCACGCCGUAAACUAUGCUUGCUAGCUGUUAUCAGUAUCGACCCUGGUAGUAGCGAAGCUAACGCGUUAAGCAAGCCGCCUGUGGAGUACGAGCGCAAGCUUA
rnacentral:rRNA from 1 species